rnacentral:tRNA from 1 species
GCCGGCGUAGCUCAGAGGUAGAGCAGCGGUUUUGUAAACCGUUGGUCGGGGGUUCAACUCCCUUCGCCGGCU